CAGUGGCUUGGCCUCACUCCCACUCCUGAAGUCGCAGAGCUCCUGAUGACCUGAAGCAUCUGGAAUCUAAGUGGCUGGUGGAAGAAUCCCCACCUGCUACUCUCCUGAUCCAGCUAUGACCCUAGGCUGCUGUGACAUCAUGAUGACUACCAAUCCAAAUGGGACUGUGGGACAGGGACCUCCUGGUUCCACCCUUGCCACAGGCUGCAGAGGUAGGGGAAAUAAUUACCCCUAUGUCCAAAGCAUGUGGUCAUGGAGGGAGUGACAAUCGUCACUGGAAGCACAGAGAUUCAGCUGCCACCAGAAAAGCAGCAAGACAAACCAACUCCCAUAGGUGCUAGCAGCAAAAGUACCACCUAACUCAUUUGACUACACAAGCAGGCGGCAGAUGCAGAUACCAACCUCCAGGACCCAGAAGGAAGGGCUGGCAAAGCUCCAACUUCAAAAGGUGGCUAAAAAUACAUGGAAAAGAGAUAGCACAAAGCGACAGGGGGCCAGGAGGACAAGAAAUGCCCCAUUCAUGAUGCCCCACAUCCCUGGCGCAGCCCAUCUGAAUGGUGCUCUUAUGAGGUUGCCAGCUUUGAAAGUUAAAAAAAAGGGAGAAAAAUAUGUGUAACUUAAGUCGGAAAGAAGGGAGGUCUCACAGAGGAAGAGCUUGCCAAUGAGGCUUCGUCUUCACAGGGUAGAGCUUUUUCUUUCUCUCUGGCCACUGGAUCUGCAGUUCAGCAAGCACGCAGACCAGCUUAACAAGAAGCAAGGGAAAGGCAAGAACUGGGCUCUUCAGGAGGAGGUGCACAAACACCACCAAUUUUGUGGAGGAAAGGAACUAAAUACAGGAAGAGACGGAAGAGAGUGAGACAAGAGUCUGCCUCUGCUGCUACUGUCAGGCUUGGAAAGGACAUUUUUUUUGCUCCGAUUCUGUUUGAACAGUCCUAAACCCAGAAAAUUCAGCAAGAAUGUCAAAUGAACUCAAAACUGCUGGGAGGAUUUUACAUACUUUUAAGACAACUGGGCUAAUAUUGGCAUCACAUCCCAGGAUGAGUUGUGCGAGGUCACGGAAUGAGCUCCUAGCCUGAGAGUUGGAUGACAUUUGUGUUGAUCCAUGCCCCGUGUUGAAGCUUUGCAGAACUGGAUCUACAAUGUGACAACCAUUACAGGAAAGUAAAUCAUGUGUUUCCAAGCAUGGAAGAUGAGCUACAGUCACCAUUAUAAGACGCAGCCAUGGUGGCAUGCUUUCAUAAUAUUUGAUGUAACAAUAACAAUAAUUGCAAUGACCAUUUUCUGACUAACCAGAAAUGGGCCCUCGAAACACCCUCUGGUUUCACCCUUAUGGCAUCUGUCAAUGGAGAUGCCACUCUUCAUUCUGCAAUAGGCAAAUCGGUUCAGCAAGAUUGUGGGACCAGAGAGCUUAUAGUACCAGAGCUUAACUUGGAAUUCAAGUCCAGCUGACACCAGUCAACUUCUUAACACUUCUUCAAAUAAUGUGGCCAACCACUUUCCAGCAUCUUGAAAGAAAUUAAAAAAUGGAGAUAUGCUUCUUGUCUAGGAAAGAUCACAUAGGUUUGUUUUUCAAUCCACAUGUGAAAUAAUGUAAUGAGUGGAGUAACAUUCAACAGACACAGAAACCAGAACUGAUGAAUUGAAACACUUGCAUAACACUUAAAUCUGGAAAAA